rnacentral:lncRNA from 1 species
AGUGGGCGUGCAGGAGAAGCUGUAGGUCAGGAGGUAGAGUUGGCAGUGGGCGUGCAGGAGAAGCUGUAGGUCGGAGAGGUAGAGUUGGCAGUGGGCGUGCAGGAGAAGCUGUAGGUCGGAGAGGUAGAGGUGGCAGUGGGCGUGCAGGAGAAGCUGUAGGUCGGGAGGUAGAGGUGGCAGUGGGCGUGCAGGAGAAGCUGUAGGUCAGAGUGGAGAGGUGGCAGUGGGCGUGCAGGAGAAGCUGUAGGUCGGGAGGUAGAGGUGGCAGUGGGCGUGCAGGAGAAGCUGUAGGUCAGGGGGUAGAGGUGGCAGUGGGCGUGCAGGAGAAGCUGUAGGUC